rnacentral:lncRNA from 1 species
UAAAGCAGUGGCUUAUCUUGUAUGUUCUGUAACUGUGUUUGAAUUUUGGAAGCCUGUAGAACUUUCAAACUUUUAUUUUUUUUUAGCUUCCUUUUCUGUUAUUUCAUUUUCACCAUGAUAAAUUUUAACAUUGAAAUCAGAGUGCGGCUUUGAACAUCAGACUUUGUGUGGAGAAACUAUCCUUUGUAUGGAAAACAGCAAUAAGAUGAGAGUGACUAGGGCAAAGGAUUCCAGUGUCUGGAGUACGUGCAGGAAAGACAGCUCUGUCCACGUGACUGGGACACUUGAACUACAUAUAAUAGGAGGAUUCUUUCCAGCCCGAAGCUGCGGUGUCUCAGAGAGGCCCUCAUUCAAUAUAUCUCUUUGGCUGCCACCUGAGAGAGUGUUUUUACCAAACCUCUGUGUGUGUUCCUAUGGCAAGUUCCAUUUUCACUUCCACCUGGACUUUUCUCUUAAUUGGACCACAGCUCUGAAAACCAUUGUUUGA